CAUCUCAAUUCGGAGGAGAAAAACCUACCGCCAACAUGGGAGUCCCCUCAAUGCACCUCAAGUUUGAAUUGUUCUCAGGAAGAAGUCUCAGUGACAAGGGAACCAGUUUCUUCCAAAUGCGGGAGAUUUUAUCCAAGGACCUCUCUUUUGUUUGGAGGAUUUGCUCAUUUUUAUUUUAAAUCUGUGUGCUCCCACUGCAGUUUGGAGAUCAGAUGACUGCUUGGUACUACGAAGUUCUCUCCUACUGAGCAGCCCUCAGUUUGAUUAUUUCCAGUCUUCUACUCCUCCUAGUCUACAGGCCCAUAGUAUCCGGAUGACAUUUUCAUGAAAGAAGAAAUUUGAAAGACUAUUUUGUCUAUAUUGACAGUUUGUCAGUCAUCUUCUGUGUCCUGUGGAAUGUCUGGCCGACUCUUUCAUGAAGCAGGAACUCUAAAGGACCAUCCCAUCUUUUGGAAAGUUCAGUAGUCACUUUUCUGUAGGUCCUGCAUGUGAAGUUCAUACAGCAUUCUAUUAAGCAAUCCAGGCAAGAACAGCUUCUUUGACUAAUGGAUAGCCCUGUUACCUUGAAGGCAAAUUCCAUAAUGAGUUUCUUCAAUGCCCAUCAACCUCUCUGAAGUAAUUGGUGCUGCCAGAAGCAGAUAACUUUCAUUGUUGAGGAAGAUCUAAGUUCUUAAAAUAUUUUAAAUGCCAUAUUCUGUAGGUGUUUGAAAGGUUGGAAGAAUGCAUAUUCAUCUGAAAUAUAUCUGUGUACAUCCAGAAAGCCUAAAUGACAUGACUACAGUUUGACUAUUAUAGAUGACUAUCUAUUAAUCCAUAAUUUUAAAUUAUACAUUACAUUUUUAAGUAAGUUGUAUAAGCAU